AAGAGGAACGAAACCAUUGUGAGGGUGUGAGAAAGGGGAACUGGGGAGAGUCUUGUGGCAAGGGAGGGGUGGCGACUCCUGAGCACUGGGGGAGAGACGGAAGCUGGGAGGGAGGGAAGUUUAAUCUUAAUAUUCAUCAGAGAUGGGCCCCAUGGCGUUUCAGCCUAAGAUAUAUUAGAACAGUUGUGUGAUCUCCUGCACAUCACUGAACAAUCAACUGUACCUCCCUCGGGAAGGGGAGCCAGCUCAGCCCCUAGCCCAGCAGCCCAGCAGCCCACCAGCCAGAGGCACUGACAGAUGGACACCUGAGCGCCUGGCACUAUCUGUGAGCACCAGGGUGGACUUGUCUCUUGAGUCGGGUGGUCCACAGGUCAACCUGAUGGAUGCAUCCUG
rnacentral:lncRNA from 1 species